GGCUCCGUAGUUGUGGCUUGCAGGCUCUAGAGUGCAGGCUCAGUAGUUGUGGUGCACGGGCUUAGUUGCUCCAUGGCAUGUGGGAUCUUCCCGGACCAGGGCUUGAACCCGUGUCCCCUGCAUUGACAGGCAAGAUUCUUAACCACUGUGCCACCACAGAAGCCCCUUAUUGUAGGUUUUUGAUUUGUGGUUACCAUGGGGUUCAUAUAUAUUGACCUGUAAUUAUAUCUAAUUGCUUUAAACUGAUAAUCAUUUAAGUUCAAACAUUCUAAAAGAUCCACAUUUUUUGCUCCCCUCCCCCACAUUUUGAGUUUUUGAUAUCAUUUUACAUCUUUGUGCUUAUCCCUUUACUGUUUAUUGUAGUUGCUUUUUAAAAUUAAAAAAAAAAUCUAAGUACUGGCUUAUUUAAGUGAUCUUUAAUCCUUACUAUAUAUUUGCCUUGCCUAUUGGGAUUUUCCCUCUCUUAUAGAUUCUUCUUUUCCAUUUAGAGUAGACCCUUCAACGUUUCUUUUAGGGUAGGUUUAGUAUUGCUGAAUUCUUUUAGUUUCUGCUUGUCGGAGAAAUUCUUUUCUUCUCUUCUAAAUGAUAAUCUGCUGGAUAGAGUAUCCUAGGUUGCAGGAUUUUCCCUUUUAGGGCUUUGAAUAACCUGAAAUUGGAUAUGUUUCCUUCCAGCCAUAAUUUCUUCAAGUACAUUUUUGAUCCCUUUCUCUCUUCUUUUUCUGGAACCCCUAUAAUGUGAAUAUUGGCACAUUUUAUAUUAUCCCAUAGAUCUUGUAUGUUGUUUUCUCCCUCCCUCCCUCCCUCCUUCCCUCCUUUCCUUCCUCCCUCCCUCCCCCUCCCCCCCUCCUUUCUUCUUUUUUUCUUUCUUCUGUUCUUACUGGGUGAUUUCUAUUAUUCUAUCUUCCAGAUCACUUAUGCAUUCUUCUGUGUCAUUUAGUCUGCUAUUCAUUGCUUCUAGAGUGCUUUUUAUCUCAGAGAUUGAAUUAUCAAUUUUUGAUCGGGUCUUUUAAAUUUCUAGUUCCUUGGUAGAAUGAUUUGUGCUUAUCUCUACUGUCUUAAUUCAGUUAGCAUUUUUAUUACCAACUUUUUGAAUUCAUUGUCUGUAGACUGAUUAUCUUUUUCAUUAUUUCUUCAGGGGUUUUCUCAUGCUCUUUCAGUUGAGAUUAGUUCCUCUGCGUUUUCAUUUUACUUAACUUUCUCUGUCUUUAUGAAUUUAGGUGCAGCAGUUAUCUGUUGUGGUCUUGAAGGGGUGUUUUUAUGUGGGAACGUCCCUAUGUAGACUGUGUGCGCCUGACAUCUUUGGUGUGUGGGUUGAAUUUGAUAUGGAUGCCAGCCCACUACUUUCCUCAGGAUGUGAUGACAACUAUCACCUUGAUGGGGGGGGUACGGCUGGCGUUGGAGGAGCCAAAGACUGUGCAGGGUUUGAGACGAGACUUCCUGUCUCCUCACUGGCCGCAGUCGCCCUGUUGGGUGGGGUCUGCUCCCAAGCUGCUGGAGUGGAAGCCCUGAGGGUCGGGCUGGAGCUGGCUCUGUUCCCUUCAAGUGUGUUUUUCCUUUUCGCCACACUGGAACCUUUGCCCCGAAGGAGGGGAGUGCAGGGUUUGUGUGCUUACAGAUAUCCAAUGUGCUGCUUGUGUAGGUAUCUGCAGUCCCGCUCAGAACCAGAUCAGGGUUGUCUUUUCCUCUAUUGUGGUGGUCUCAGCUCUAGUGUAAGGUUGUGGCAUGGAGUGGGUGGGGCUGGAGCAUUUGCUUGGGGAUCAUGGCAUUGUGGUUGCAGGAAUCGAAGUGGCUGCACUGUCAUGAGAAGAAGUCUGGGCUACUUCUGUGGCUCUGAGUAAGCGCCAGCAAUGGCUGUCACUCGGCCUGUACCAUACCCCAGGCCCGUGGCUCACCUCUGUGUCCCUAGAUCGAGUCUUUUUCCAGGAUGUGGCUGCCCUGGAUUCAGUGCCAAGCUGUGGUGUGGAGUGAGUGGGGCCAGGGGGUUCACUCAGCUUGGGUCAGAGAGAGUGUGGCAAGGUGGCAGCUGCUAGGGCAGACCUCUCUCCGCCCUGUUGGGUGGCAAGCCAGCACUGCAUACUCCUCAGCAGUGCAGUCUAGGCUUCUCCAGCCUUUCUGUGUGUCCCAGCUGUUCUCCAGGCAGCCAAAGGGUCUUGCCUCCUCUGUGUAAGACCCCAGGACUAGAAUGCCCAGUCUGUCUCUCAGCCUGCUCACUCCCCAGGGAGAGUGUCCACCUGUAUGAUCUCCCUUUUCCUCUUAGUUCCCUCCUGGGGGCACAGGUCUCGACCCCGUUCUUUUCUUCCCAUCCUACCUGGGAUGGGAUUAUGGGGGAAUCUUUUUUGCAGCCUUGGUUGUAUAGGAGCCCUUCUGCCAGUUUCCACGUAGUUUUUGGUGAGAACUGUUCUACAUGCAGGUGUAUUUUUUGAUGUGGGGCGGGAGGUGAGUUCUAUAUCCUCUUACUCUGCCAUGUUGAUCCUCCUCCCACUCUUUCUUUCUCUCUCCUUUCCUCCUCUCAUUCUCUCCCUUCCUCUACUCAGGGAACUCAGUGGUACUUGGGGUCAUUUCUCAUCUGUACUGCAGAAGUCUUUGGAGCUAACAGGAGUCUUGUGCAUACUCACCUGGGCUUGGACCCGCCAUCUUCAUAACCACAUGCUCCAGACUCAUGGACUCGGCUCCUUUCAAACAGUGUCCAUAUUGGCAGCUUUCAUCCAUUCAUUCAACAAAUACUUACUCGAGGCCUGCCCUACGCUCAGUCCUGGUCUGGGGUUACUGUGGUAAACAAGACAGGCGUGGCCCUUACUCUCAUGAAGGUUAGUGAGGGGAGAAAGGAAUGAGCAAAUACACAAGGUGAUUUUGGUGGUAAGUGCCGUGAAGAAAAGAAAGCAGGCUGAUGCGGGAGAAAGUGACUGAGGUUGUCAAGACAGGCCUCACAAAGAGGUGACGCUCGAGACCUAGAUGAUCAGAUUGCACCAGAUCACCAGGCAGGUUUCUCUGUUGAAAAUAAAAGGAUCCGACUCUAGUUAACGUAAGCAGAAAAGGGAAUGCACUGGGAGGGUAUUGGGUACUUCAGAGAAUGGGCGGGAGGCCUGGAAAAUUAGGCUAGCACAGAGGCGGUUGCUAAGGGAGGUUGGCCAGAACACUGACGAAAAUCAUGCUACAGCUGGUUCUUGUUAGGACCCAGCCACCGCUGCUCUGGAUACUGACCUCGAACCCUGGACCCACAGGCACACCACCAGAGGGACCUCCAAACUGGGCCUGAUCACCGCAGACCACAGGUUGUUAACAGGUAAGCCGGGGUUGCUCCCAUCUCACGCAGAGUGAAAGCCACAGACUUCAUAAUGUCGUUCUUGAUCCGGUCCCCCGUUCCCUAUGCUCUCAUCUAUCCUCCUUUCCUCGCCCCAACCUGCUCCACCCACAUCGCUCUCCUUGCAGUUCCUGUCACACCAAGCCUGCCCCCCCCUCUGGGGGCACUGGCUGUUCCCUCCACUUGGAGCACUUUUCUUCAAGUCUCCCCCAGAAUUACCCCUUCACCUCCUCCAAGUCUAAGCUCACAAGUCACCUUCUCUGGAGGCCCACCACAUCUCCCUAUUUAAGCCCAGCCUCCCCUGCCCACAGGAUUCCUUUAUGCUUUUUUUUUUCCUUGUCAUCUUUUAACAUGUUAUGUUUACUGUUUGUUUAUCAACUGUCUUGCUGAUGAAUCUGCCCCAGGUGCCUAGACCAGUGGCUGGCCUUGGAGUUAACACUCCACAGCUGUUGGUUGGAUGUGUAGAUGAUAAAAUGGCAUAAAAUGUCUUGGGAGGCAUAAGUUGAAUCCUGGUCUGUCACUAACCAGCUGUGAUUCUGCACAAAUAUUUUACCCAUCUGUAACAUGGGCACCUACCUCAAAUGGAUUCUUGGUGAAGAGUAAAUGAGACAAUAUGCAGAAUAAGCCCUGGUUGCCGGGCUCUCCUUCUUUCCUGCUCACCCAUUCAGAUCUAUUAAGAGGAGUCUCCCAAGCCCAUAUGAUCACAAUGAACGUUUCCAUUUACUUUGGAUUAUAUGUCAUUAUAAAUAUUAACAAAUAAGACUUAAAAAGGACACCUUCGGGUAGGUCAGACAAAAGUACAAAAACUGUGUGUGGGGCUGCAGUUUCAGGACUGUUUCUGCAGCCAUCACAUGAUAGCAAAACGGUGGUAAGCAGUGCACGAGUCUGCGUCGAAGACAGCCAGAGUCCAUGCAUCGGGAGGUUCUCUCGGUUGGAGAAAGAACAAAGGGAGGACAUGCUCGGGCCAGGAGAUGCAGUUCCUCGCUCUCGCCACUAGAGGUCAGGAGGUUACCGCUUCAGGGUUGGAAGACGGGCCCGUGGGGGAUUGGCUAGUGGUGGCGGUGGGUGCUGAGGCUAGGCAGGGGGGUCGGGGUGGCGGUGGAUGCCACACCUGGUGACCCCCUGGUUAUUGACAUCUGACUUUGGAAUGACUUUUGUUUUGUUUUUGUUUGGCGUCGAAUUCACCGUCUUUGUGGGGCUGAGGGACCAGAGGAGGUUGGGGUCAAAGGGAGAGCUCACACUGUAGCUUCUCAAAGCGCCUUCUUCUCUAACAAACAGAGAUACAACCUGUAAGGGGUCCAGAACAGUGCCAGGGUCCUAGUGAAGGUUCUCCCUGGGAGGUCUUCUACCCAAGUGCCCCCUCCUCCACUCGGGCUAGCUGUCCAGGAGCCCCACCUCCCAGCCUGUCCCUGUGGUCAGCUGGGACCAUGUUUAAGGACCAAACCUGCUCUUGCACAGUCUAGGGCAGUAGAAGGCCUUGGACUAGGUGCCAGGUGUUCUGGGUUCUUAUCCCAACUGGGUCCUGUGUAGGCCCCUUUUGCUUGCUUGCUAGGCCUUAGUUUCUCCAUGUGUCUAACAAGGAAGUUGUACUAGGUGAGGCUCUAGGUGUGCUUCUAACUUGGCCAUUCAGCAUUUCCGUGUGUUUACAGGGAAUUUGUGAAGCUCCUCUCAAUGAGAAACCUGCCCCCCCACCCACCCAAAAGGCAAAGAGCUAAGACGAUAACCCAGAGUUCACCCAGACACAAGGUUCCUCAUAAAUAGACUCAGCCUCUCUGAAUCUCCUUCCUCAUCUGUCAAAUGGUGAUGGCAAUUAAACCCAUCUCACAGGGCUGUGAAGAUUCAUCAAGAGGACAGUGGUUGUAAAACCCUUACCACACACAAAGUCUCCUUAAGGAAAACCAGGACUCCCUGACCAGCAAAGUUUGCCAGGUACUGUAUGGGGGCUGGAGUCCUGUUGCCCCUGCAAAAUGGAAAAAGGCUGAUGGGCACUUGGUGGGAUUCACAUCACCCCAGGCCUCAGAUGGUAAUGUGCUUUGUGUCUGCAGCAUAAGGUCUAGCCCCAGUGCCCCUUGAGAGCCCUGUACAAGCGUUGGUGUGGGUGUGGCGUCCAGAGCUGGAGGUGGUGGGGCAGGGGCUGUGGAACCUGGUCUGCCUCAGCUGUGGUAGGGCUGGAAGGCUUCAGGUAGAUCACUUUCCCUCUCUGGGCUUUGUUUCCCACCAGUGCAGUGAUGAUGGGUUGAACACAGAAAUUCCUGGGUUCUGCAUUUGUUCAUCCAGCGUUCCUGAAGGCCCCUUAGUCGGCAGGAAAAGUUUGGGGCUUCAAGCCUGGGCCCAAGAUUCUGAUGCCCUCAACCCCUUCCUGGAGACCUUUACCCAGGGUGCAGAGGGCUCUCUCUUAGCUCCUGGAAGACAGAACCAGCCCUUCGCAGAAACGAGGCCCUGGACUGCUGCUGAGUACUCCUGAAAGGGAUUUCAGUAGGGCUAGGAUGCAGGGGCAGCCAUCUGGGGCUCCCCACUUCCCAACCCUGAACCCAGAAGGGCCCUGGGUGGGGGAAGGGGAGAGGAGGGUAAGGACAAGGAGGACUUUUUGGUUCUUUUCAUGCAAAGAAAAACAGACUCUUUCUCUUCUUGACUGCAACUGACCUGAUGCUUAAGCUUGGGGCGAGAGGCAGGAUCCAUCCUCCAGCUUCCUCAGGAGGAGAAAGAUCAAAGAAACUGCACUCACCCUUCAAGGCCUUGCUAAAGCAUCACUUCCUCCAGGAAGCCCUCCCUGCUCUCCCAGCCGAGUCAGCAGAAUCCACAGAACGUGCAGGCAAUCAAACCAGUGCUUCAGGCGCUCGCCCUUGGCAUUGAUGCCCAGAACCACACCGCCUGCAGAGGGGAGCCGAGAGGCAGCCGGGACACGGUAUCUGGAAUUAUAACCAAUCAAUAGGCAUAGGGUGAGAAGACACUCUGAGUACACACGGAGCCAGCAGGGCUUGGAAGAGAGAUUCCCAGGCCUCCCAUCAUCCUAACCAUCGGAUGUCCCCAGCACUACUCUGUGACAAAGGUGAGCAGUCAGUGCAGUGGGAGAAGCGAGUGGGUCCUUCAUCACCUGGACCUCUGUUGACAGCCCGUUCCUGAUGUCACAGAGCCCCUCUAUCCCCUAGGAAAGAGGGUUUUCUUUAUUUCUGGAAGUCUAAUUUUCACAGCUCACAUUUCUCACCAGAAAAAGUUUUAGCAAAGUUGGUCCCUUGCUAGAGCUCUUCUUUUUGUAAUAGCAGAUUAUGGAGAUAAAAUUCACAACGCUAUAAAAUUCAUCUUUCUCAGGUGUAUAACGCAGCCGUUUUUUAGCAUAGUCCCUGAGUUGUACAACCAUUGCCGCUACCUCACUGGAGCUUUGAGGAAGGAAGAAAGGUCUUUUGGGCGGUGACAGCAGUGCUUCCUGCAGGGAAGGAGGGAAGCCCUGCUUGCGGGCCAGCUCCCUCCACGGGCAUCAGCUCCUUAGACUUUGAUGCCGAACAGCAGUCUUCAUCUGGGGCUUAGAAAGGUGGAGGGACUCGCCCAAGGUCACACAGCUGCUCAGCACAGGGAUGGUGCUCAGAAGCCAGGCCCUCUCCUUUGCAAAGCUUCCUACCCUGUCCCUGCAUGGACACUAGUGACCAUUGCCCUGCUCCUGCUGACAGGACCACAUCUGUCUCACCCACUACCAGCUUCCUGGUACCCAACUUGAGGCCUGGCACUGGGUGGGAUCAGUGAACAUAGAAAGUGGUACCUCAUUAUUGCUUUUCUGUGCACUUUUUUAAAAAGUUGUGAUUGUUAUUACAUAAGAAAUACUGGUUCACUAUAGAAGCACUAGAAAAUAUGUAUUAACAGAAGUUGGGGGUGGAGAGAGAAAUGAAUACACAGGUCUGCACAAAAAACCUGUUCUUUAGCAGCUUUAUACAGCCAUCAGAAAUUGGGAACAGCCCCCAUGCACUUCAACAGGAAGUGACCUGACGGACGACUACUUGGCAAUGCGCAGACCUACAGACCCAAACUCCGGGCUCAGGCACCACGUGGCUGGCUCCCCAGAGCAUUAGGUUAUG